rnacentral:rRNA from 1 species
UACGGAGGGUGCAAGCGUUAUCCGGAUUCACUGGGUUUAAAGGGUGCGUAGGCGGGCAGGUAAGUCCGUGGUGAAAUCUCUGAGCUUAACUCAGAAACUGCCAUGGAUACUAUUUGUCUUGAAUAUUGUGGAGGUAAGCGGAAUAUGUCAUGUAGCGGUGAAAUGCAUAGAUAUGACUUAGAACACCAAUUGCGAAGGCAGCUUGCUAAACAAAUAUUGACGCUGAGGCACGAAAGCGUGGGGAUCAAACAGG